CUUGACUGCACUUCAUUAUGCAUCUGCUUAUGGACACAGGAACAUCGUUUCAAUUUUACUUGACAAUGGCUUCAACUUAAAUGCAUUAACACUAGAUGUAAGUACUGUGUCUAUGUAAAAAGAGGGAAAUAUCAGAGUGUCUUUCAACAACUGAAAAAAGUACAAUACCAUGGCAAAAAACAAAAAAUGAGGAAAAAAGACGAAGAAGGCCGCAAACAAGAGAAAAUAAAAAAAUGCGAAAAA
rnacentral:lncRNA from 1 species